rnacentral:rRNA from 1 species
AUACGUAGGGGGCGAGCGUUGUCCGGAAUGAUUGGGCGUAAAGGGCGCGUAGGCGGCCCGGUAAGUCUGGAGUGAAAGUCCUGUUUUUAAGAUGGGAAUUGCUUUGGAUCCUGUCGGGCUUGAGUGCAGGAGAGGUAAGUGGAAUUCACAGUGUAGCGGUGAAAUGCGUAGAGAUUGGGAGGAACACCAGUGGCGAAGGCGACUUACUGGACUGUAACUGACGCUGAGGCGCGAAAGUGUGGGGAGCAAACAGGAUUAGAUACCCUGGUAGUCCACACUGUAAACGAUGAAUGCUAGGUGUAGGGGGUAGCGACCCCUUCUGUGCCGCAGUCAACACAAUAAGCAUUCCGCCUGGGGAGUACGGCCGCAAGGUUGAAACUUAAAGGAAUUGACGGGG